rnacentral:lncRNA from 1 species
GCGAUAUCUGGACCAAGGAAGGGGAAUGUGUUAUCUGUGAGAAGGUAAGUGCUAACUAGGUGAGACAGAGAGACCAAAGGGGUCUCUUAGGUGAGGUCUAUAAAAAGGGUUUGGGGAAUAACAGAGCAUUGUGUCUUGGUUGCUGUUAGGGCUCUAAUCCAUAUCGCCAUGGAGCUCCAUGGCUCCAUCUAAUUAACGGGACGUUUCUCUGUGGGAGAGACGAUAAAUGUCUGGAAGCAGAUACAAGGACUUGUGUCCCUACCUACUCCUUUGGCUUGCCUUGAGCACUCUACAGAGAGAGGGACUUAUAGAAAGAAACUGAUAGAGCAAUUCAAGCUGGACACCCCAAAAUUCAGGGCAAAGCAGAGCCACUCAAGGACCCAGGUGGCCUGCUGUAGCUCAGAAGCAAUUCCAUCCUCAACCCCCAGGAAACACUCUGCUCCAGGGCCUCUCUCGAUGGUUUAUGCAGAAGCAAUGCUUUUCCAACGGGAUUCCUAAGCCACAGUCAGGAAGCAGUGGUGCUAAAGAGAAAAAAAAAAAAGGCAAGAAGCUGCCUGGUGAUUACAGAGAUAGGCUGGUUUGUGUGCUCUUGUGAGGCUCUUCUCAGCGCCUCCCCGACAGACCUGGGGCACUCUGAGGGAGCAGAGGUUCCCUGUUGCACUUGUGGGGGCUGUGGAAUCUGGUAGCUGCCCUGCUCUAGGGUGGAUGAUCUAAGAAAGAGCAAGAAGAAAGCUGCAUGUCGCUUAUGACCUAGCCUCAUGAGUCACACACCAGCACUUACACCAUCCAUUAUACUUUGUUAUGUUUCUUUCUUUCUUUUUUUUUUUUUUUUAAUGUUUACUUAUUCUUGACAGAGAGAGACAGAGACAGAGCAUGAGUGGGUGAGGGUCAGAGAGAGAGACAGACACAGAAUCCGAAGCAGGCUCCAGGCUCUGAGCUGUCAGCACAGAGCCCAGUGUGGGGUUCGAACUCACAAACCGUGAGAUCAUGAUCUGAGCCAAAGUCGGACACUUAGCCGACUGAGCCACCCAGGCGCCCCUGCUUUAUUAUGUUUCUAAGACCAGCUGACACUCAAGGGGAGGGGAGUUAAAUUCCAUCCUUUGAAGAGAAAAGUGGCAUGGAUUUAUGCACAUAUUUUAAAACAACAGCAACCAAGCAUGCAUCCUCACAGUCUGCACCGCUAGAAAACAUUACUGGAAGUGAAGAGAAUUACUAGUUAGUAAGUGUUAUUAUGAUAAGCGAUUAGCCAUUUGGAAAAAAACAACAAGAAAACAAAAACUUAGAUCCCUAUCUCACAUUUUGCACCAAAUUGAAUCCCAGAUAAUUGAAAUAGUUAAGUGUACAAAAGUACUAGAAGAAGGGCACCUGGGUGGUUAAGUGCCUGACUUCAGCUUAGGUCAUGAUCUCAUGGUUCAUGGGUUUGAGCUCCGCGUCGGGCUCUGUGCUGACAGCUCAGAGCCUGGAGUCUGCUUCAGAUUCUGUGUCUCCCUCUCUCUCUCUGCCCCUCCCCUGCUCAUGCUGUGUCUCUCCGUCUCUCCAAAAUAAGUAAACAUUAAAAACAAAACAAAACAAAUCAAAAGUACUGGAAGAAAAUUUGGAUACAUUUAAGUAGAGUGCAUAUGGGAGUCUGUCUUGUUCAAAUUAUUGCAAACUCGGGCUUUUAAGGGAAGUUUCAAUGGGUUUAUAAGAAAUGACUUUCAUCGGUUAAAAAAAAUGAAGUAGAGAAGGAUAUUGAAUUAUGACAUCAAAGCUUAGCCAGCACAAAAGAAAUAAUUAAUUGAUAAGAUCACGUAUGACAAUUAAACACUGCAGAAGAUAAAAACAAGUAAAAGAGAAAUGAAAGCUGGGCAGAAAUAUUUGACACUUACAAGAUAUACAAGAAUGAAACUCUUCGUAUAAAAAAGAGCUCUUACACAUUCAUGUGUGUGUGGGGGGGAAGAUUCUAAAAUGUGUCCCAGAAGUAUGUCUUUUCUCUGAAUAGCAUGUGUGCAAGGAGAAGGUUGUGUCCACGGUGUCCGCACUGCCCACAGAGCAUUACACAGGGGUGGGACUCAUGUUGGGUGAGUCUGUUGAUUGCAGCUCUUCAUUUCAGUUCCCAAAAUGCCUGCAUAUAUUUCUUCUCCUCACCCUUCACUUCUCUCUCACUUAAAGAAAUCUCAUUCAGAUACUUCCUGUGCAGUUUGUGACUCACAGCAAGAUUAUGGCCCAGGCAGUGCUGAUUUCAGCAAGAAAUCCUCCCCACAGCAUAAAUUGGGUCCCUGCGAUGCCCAGAGUAAAUUGCAACUAGGAAGUCCGUACGUACAUUCAGCACGUCCUUCUUAUGCCCUUACUAUGAAUCUGGAGUACCCCCCACCCCCGCUUUUUUUUAUCUGAGUGUGCGCCUAAGGGAGGGUGCAGACAAGAAGCCUGGUCAAGAAGAAAGGGCAUGGCCUGGACAUCAGGGUUUGGGGCUAGCUCUACUGCUUUUCAUCUGUGUGACCAGACAGAGCCCUACCAAUCCUGGGCCUCAGUUGCUCCCAGUGUAAAAUGAGUUGGGGGACUAGGUGGUCGCCACAGAGUCUUCCAGCUCUAACAUUCAAGGAUUCAGCUCGUUUUCUUUUUUUUUUUUUUUAACACGUGGGCUCUAAUAGGUGUUUAACCUAACGAGAAGUUUUGGAAGUCCCUUGAGAGUCCUUUUCAGAUUUUGGAAUCCACUGAGAGUAAAACAGAAAGUGCUUUCAAUUACUGAAGUUGUUCCUCCAUUUUCUAAAAAAAGAUUCCAUUCCACUCAUUUGGAAAAAGUAAAAUUGCAAACAGAGUGAAAUGACUAAGGAGGCAGUAGUUAGUUUAGGUGGUGAGUCUCAGAGAAGGUCUCCUUCUUCUGAUCCGGCCCCAAAUGUGGGUGUGGGAGCCAGUGGGGGCCACACAUUUUAGACUUCGUUUUCCUGGACAUGCUAUUGAUACAAGGAUGGCAUGACUUACAUGAUGGUGGGCGAGAAGGUCUCCGUCCCUAAGUCUAAACUAUCCCCACUGCUGCUAAAUUGGGAGGAUGUAGGUCUGAGCAGCGGGCGGCCGUCUUUCUAGUACAUGGAAAGAACCUGAUAUGGAAUGAGGCCAAGUGGAGGCGACAGAGAUGAGAGGUGGAGAGAGUGUCAUGGAAAGAAGACACCAAAGAAACAAGAAACAAGAGGGAGAUUCAGGGGGGAGGGGCAAGAGAGAAAGUGAGGCAACUUCUUCCUGAAGCUGAAACCUUGGUUCCUAUAAUUUCCCCUUAAGAUUCUGUAGGCUACCUGAUUAUCUUCCCGGCUACAUGAGUAAAUAAAUCCUCUCUUUGCUUCAGAUAAUUUGAAUUUGGAAGUGUCCUGAAUAAUGUACUAGUGUAUCUCCAUGAAGCUCUUUUUUUUCUUUUUACAUAAUAUUUAUUGUCAAGUUGGCUAACAUACAGUGUAUACAGUGUGCUCUUGGUUUUGGGGGUAGAUUCCCAUGUUUCAUUGCUAACAUACAACACCCAGUGCUCAUCCCAACAAGUGCCCUCCUCAAUGCCCAUCACCCAUUUUCCCCUCUUCCCUGCUCCCCCCAUCAACCCUCAGUUUGUUUUCUGUGUUUAAGAGUUUCUUAUGGUUUGCCUCCCUCCCUCUCUGUUUGUAACUAUUUCCCCCCUUCCCCUCCCCCAUGGUCUUCUGUUAAGUUUCUCAGGUUCCACUUAUGAGUGAAAACAUAUGAUAUGUGUCUUUCUCUGACUGACUUAUUUCAUUUAGCAUAAUACCCUCCAGUUCCAUCCACGUUGCUGCAAAUGGCAGGAUUUCAUUCUUUGUCAUUGCCAAGUAGUAUUCCAUUAUAUAUAUAGACCACAUCUUCUUUAUCCAUUCAUCAGUUGAUGGACAUUUAGGCUCUUUCCAGGAAGCUCUCUUAAAUUAUAAAGGUGUUAUCCAGAGGGAUGACACAUGAUACCAGUAAUGUAGGUUAGGUUUUCAGAUAAGCUAUGACUACUAUAUAGAACAUAAAUUUUGAUAAAGAAGAUAAAGCAAGAGUAUUGCUAGAGGUUAUUGCUAGAAAAGGAGGAAUCCUCAUACACUGUCAGGAGGAUGUAAAAUGGUGCAGCCACUAUGGAAAACAGUUGGAUACUUCCCCCCCAAAAUUGAACUUCUGUUGUGGAAUUAAGAAACAAAACAAACAAGCAAAGGGAAAAAGAGAGAGAGAACCAAGAAACAGACUCCACAGAACAAACUGAUAGCUACCAGAGGGGAGGUGAGAGGUGAGGAUGGGUGAAGUAGGUGAUGGGGAUUAAGGAAGGCACUUCUCCAGAGGAGCACCCGGUGAUGUAUGGAAGUGUUGAAUCACUAUAUUGUACGCCUGAAACUAAUAUGACACUGUAUGUUAACUAUACUGGAAUUAAAAUAAUUUUUUUUUUAAGUUAACAUGUGGGGCAUCUGGGUGGCUCAGUCAGUUAAGUGGACAACUCUUGAUUUCGGCUCAGGUCAUGAUCUCAUAGUUUGUGAAAUUGAUCCCCUCGUUGGUGUCUGCACUCACAGCCUGGAGCCUAUUUUGAUUCCUCCAGCUUCUUCUCUCUGUCCCCCCCCAAAUAAAUACAUGUUAAAAAAAUUGAACACGUUGGGGUGCCUGGGCAGCUCAGUAGGGUAAGCGUUUGACUAUUGAUUUUGACUCAGGUCAUGAUCCCAUGGUUUGUGGGAUCGGAGCUCUGUGCCAGGUUCUGCGCUGACAGCAUAGAGCAUGCUUGGGAUUCUCUCUCUCUCUCUCUCUCUCUCUCUCUCUCAUUCUCUCCCCCCUCUCCCCCCCGCCACUGCUCCCCUCCCACUUGCUCUCUCCCUAUCUCUCAAAAUAAAUAAAUUUUCUUAAAAAGUUAAAAAUUGGGGCGCCUGAGUAGCUCAGUCGGUUAAGCGUCUGACUUCACCUCAGGUCAUGAUCUCACAGUUCGUGGGUUCGAGCCCCGCGUCGGGCUCUGUGCUGACAGUGAGAGCCUGGAGCCUGUUUUGGAUUCUGUGUCUCCCUCUCUCUCUGCCCCACCCCUGUUCACACUCUGUCUAUGUCUCAAGAAUAAAUAAAUAUUAAAAAAAAUUUUUUUUAAAAGUUAAAAAUUGAACAGGUGUUAUCUUAUGACCCAGCAAUUCCACUCCUAGCUAUAUACCCAAAAGAAUUGAACACAUAUAUUCACACAAAAACCUAUACACGAAUGUUCAUGGUAGGAUUAUUCAUAAUAGCCCAAACUUCUUCCAUUAAUUGAUGAAUGGAUAAACAAAGUAUAGUAUAUCCAUACAAUAGAAUAUGACUCAGCAAUAAAAGUGAAUGGAGUUCUUUCUGAUGCAUGAGACUACGUGAAUGAAAUUUGAAAAUAUGCUAAGUGAAAGGAGCCAGUCACAAAGACAGAAAGUAGAUCAAUGGUUGCCAGGGGGUGGGAUAUAGUGACUUGUACACUUUAAAAGGUGAAUUUUUGGUAUGUGAAUUACAUCUCAAUUUUAAAAAAAUGUUUAUUUAUUUUUGAGAGAGCACAAGUGGGGGAGGGGCAGAGAGAGGGGGACAGAACCACGAGAUCAUGACCUGAGCCAAAGUCACACACUCAAUGGACUGAGCCAUCCAGGUGCCCCAUCUCAAUUUUUAAAGAAGGAUUACUCUUCUCCUGGUCAGUCCCAUCUUUAUACUACCCAGAGUACUUUUUCUGGUUUGACUCUAAUUCUCUCCUAGCCAUCCCUCUUCUAGUCCCCCAUCCUGCCCCAAAUCCUCCAGCAUAUUUAGAACCCUCGGAACAUUUCCUGGUAUGAAUAGGAACUGGGACCUCACUUCUCUUUCAAGAGAGCUAUACUCUUUUGCUUGCACGGUUAUUUUGUUCAGUAAAGGACCUGUCUUGUGGACUCAAAGGGGAUAGGCAGCAGGGGACUGAAACUAAUUCACAAUUUUGUUUAAAUUUACUUGUCAAAGGCAGAAAUAUUCAAUUUCAUGUAUAGUCCCAAUUCCCUGCCCUGGGAGCAGAUUCCCAGGAAGCAAUUAUGUAGAACAAAAUGUAAUGGGUAAUAGGGGGUGCCUGUGAAUUAUUCAUAAUCCCGUAAUGAUUUUAGCCCAUUUUUUUAACAUUACCUGCUAUUGGUGUUAGCUCUGGAAAGUUCCCAAAGUAAGCAGCACAGAGGCUUCCUUUAGUUAUGCUUAUAUAACCAUAAACCCUAGGACUUUCCCUAAACCAUCUGAAUAAUGAAAAUUGAAAGAGGACUUGGAUCCCUUUUCCUCCCCAAGUCUAUAAAGCAAAGGUAAAUGCUGCCUUAUAGACUUCAUCUUACUCACCCAUCAGUCCUCCUUACUAUCUUCUCAGAGAGGUUGACAUGGCAUAAUGCCCAGCCGAGUGCUUGGCUCCAAGAAAGCACACAAUACUUACUUGGCUUGGAUUAUUUGAAUAAAUGAAUGAAUGGUGGAAAGAAUGAGGUAUCUGUAGUAAAGAGGACUUAGGCUAAGUAGUUUUGCUCUUUACCAGCUGUGUGAUUUGGGCAAGUGCCUUGCUCUCGGUUUUGUUUUGUUUUGUUUAAUCUGUAAGAUGGAGAAAAUGAUACCCGCUUUGUGGGGUUAUUACAUAAGUGUUCAAUAAGCAGUAGCUGUUAUUUUAGUCUUUCUUUCUAGUAGCAGAUUACCCCAAAUCUGGUAACUGAGAGUCAGUCAAAGCUUUCUUAGGAUCCAAAAGUUCCCAAACCUGAUUAAUCACUUUUUUAAAUAUAAAUUUCCAGAUUCUACCUCUGGAGAUGCUGACUUACUAGGAAUUGGAUGGGGGCCAAAGGAGGGAGAUAUAUAUAUANNNNNNNNNNNNNNNNNNNNNNNNNNNNNNNNNNNNNNNNNNNUAUAUUAAAAUCUAAUACAUAUAAUUAUUUUAUAUAUAUUAUGUUAUAUAAUAUAUAAUCUAUAAAAUCUAUAAUAUAUCUCUAUAUAUUAUCUAUAAUCUAUAAUGUAUAUCUAUAUCCACAUAUAUAUUUUUUAAUCUAUAUAUAUGUUAAAUUAAGGUAAAAUUUACCUAUGAGGAAAUGCACAGAUCUUCAGAGUAUAAUUGGGUGAAUUUUGGCAAAUGUGUGGGUACAGAGCAUUUCCACAGCCCCAGAAAGUUAAAUCAAUCCCCAUCCUGCCUAGAUCGCCGCUGUUCUGAUUUCUAUCACCAUAGAUGAGUCAUUCCUGUUCUUGAACGCCAUAUCCGUAGAAUCAUAAUCAUGCAGUAUUCACUUUCUGUGUCUGUUUUUUUUUCCACUUCUCAUAAAGUUUUUGGGAUUUAUCCUUUUUUCUUGCUGAGUAGUAUUCUACCCUAUGGCUAUACCUCAGUUUGUUUCUCUCUUUACCUACUGACGGGCCUUUUAGUGUUGUUUUCGGCUAUUAUGACUAAAGGUGCCACAAAUAUGUUUUCAUUUCUCAUGGGUAAAUACUAAGGAGUGGAGUUGCUGUAUAAUAGCACAGGGAUAGUUGAAUUUUAUUUAUAAAAGCCCUUCAAGUGAUUCUGAUGAUCAGCCAGAUUUGGGAAUCCCUGAGGUAGUGGGGAAGGUCACCCCUGACGACUGAUGAUUUGUUCACUUUUUCUUUCAUUGUGCAAGUAUCCUUUUUCACCAGGGAAGUGUUAUCUCUUCUCCCUCUCUCACCUGAGGAGCCCAGCCCUCCUCUCUCUUGCUUGCCAGUGCCUUACCAGAGAAGAGAGUUCCAGCCGAGGAUCCCCGUGAGUCUCUUGCAUUAUGUCAUCCAAAUAGUUCCAGGAAGCAGUGCCGGUGAAGGGAACUGGAGGAGGCUGCCAGCCAGCAAGACUUGCUCUGACCUUGGGAUCGCGUGCUUAGGACGAAAGGCCAACCUUCCCAUCAUUUGAGUUAGCCGUUUCCACUUGGCCACAGCAGUCCCACCACCUAGCACAGGGGCAGGCCUGGGCUACUUGGGGACUGUGGUCUUCAGUAGGCCCUGUGGAAAUCCAAGGGGAGAGCAGUGGGCGGGGCUCUAUAGAUUCCUCAGCCUCCAGAAACUAAAAUCAGAGUUGGGUCCUGUCACCCGUGAUGGGAAAGAAAAAGUUGUCAAAACAUGACCAUUUUGUUCCAAGGGUCAUGCUGGCUGUUGGCUUAGGAAUGACAAAUUUUUUCCUUUCUGAAAUUCCUUUUCCUUUUGAGGAUUAUUAGCAUUUCACAAUAAGGGUAAAGAGCAUUCUCAAAGUUAUGCUCCAAUUCAGUGUUUCUCAAAGGUGGUUUAUGUGUAUGGUACUCAGGAAGGUUUCAGGGAUUAUACAGAUGAGUAUAAUUAAAAAUAAGUAUUUGUCUUAGCACAUGGUAAAAAAAAUUAAAAUAGCACAUUAAAUAUGUGAUAUCGUGGAUAUAUUGCUUAUCAUGAAGCCAAGUUAAAAAGGUAAUUCAACAUAUUAAUGUUGAAUUCAGUGUAUAAUAGUACAGGUGAUACACGGGUGUGGCAAAAAGGACAAAGGUACAGAGGAGAGGCCAGGGUUUAGAAAACUGCCUCUGUCGAGCCAUGCAUUUGAUGGAUGAGAAACCAAAGGCCCCAAGAUGCAAGUGACUUGAGCAAAGUCACACCUUAUCAGAACUAGGACCAGAUCCCCAAACUUACCUGGUUUGUGGCCCAGUGCUCAUUCUAUGAACUUAGUACUUCCCUUUUGUAAGAAGAGGAAAGGAUCUCAGUGACUAUGUAGCCUAGCCCCUAUAUUCAAAGUCAAAUGCAUUUGCAGAAACAGCCUGCAGUUUGAUGAGACCACAAAGUCAGAAGGAGUCCAAUAAUAGGUCAGGCUCCAAGAAGUCUGAGAUAAUGAGAAGAACCUAGACUUAUAAGGAAUGAACAUCAAGAUAUUUGUAACUCUCCUCAUGUGAAAUCUUUGGGGGAGAAUAGGACAGAAGCAGAAUGGACAGUUGUUUUCCCUGUCUCUGGCUCCCAUCCCUCCAGAACAUUCAAACUGGUCUCUAAGACAAGGCUUGCUACAUGAGUGCCCUAUGUGGGCAGACUACCCCUGCGUAGGUUUUUUGAGGCCAUAGAGAAAGAAAGCUCUGAUUGUUCACAGAAAUAGCUUCAGGCAGCGGGAAACAUGUAAGGGCACGGCUUCCCAGAUGACUGUCAUCUUUGAAUCUUCACAAAUCCAGUAGGGAGAUUCAGAGGCGGCAACUCUGUCAGAAUUCUAGCAUUUGCGGAUCCCCACCCCAGUGAGAGUGAAAAAGGCAGGUCCUGGGAAUGCAAGCAUGGAACUGCACUUUCUCAGCUGGAAAAUAUAGCUGACAUUGGGUGAGAGGGUCUGUGUUACCCUUUCUUUUCUCUGAAUGGGAUCUUGUGUCCCUUGCUGAGGCAUCACUAACCUCUACAGUCUGGGAGCCAUUCAUUCUUCCUCUGUGUCACCCUCAGGAUGUUGAGCCAGUGUAUGACCUGCUGAGCCCAUCCCUCAAAAGAUAUCUGAGGGAUAAGCAUGCAACCCCAUCUAACAUCAAAGGAGACGUGGUAAGAUAUACCACAUGCAAGUUUUCCUAACCUUACACAAGCUCAGCACUGAGGGGGAUAGCACAUUAUCCUGAGGCCAAACUAGGCUCUGUGAAUGAACCCCUCCACCCCGACCUCCUGUCCUUGCUCUGGCCAUUGGGAAUAGGACCCCUAAGAAUUUGCUGGUAGAUAAGCCAAGCAAAUAAUGACUGUUGAAAACCUCUCCUGACUUCUGUAGGCUCAGAAUGAAGGCUCCUCUCCUCCUCCUCCCCUCCUUCUUCUUCUUCUUCUUCUUCUUCUUCUUCUUCUUCUUUAUUAGAGAGAGAGUGUGUAAACAGGGGGCGGGACAGAGAGAGAAGAGAGAACCUCAAGCAGGCUCCAUGUCUAGCACAGAGCCUGAUUCAGGACUCGGCCUCAUGAACCCUGAGAUCAUGACCUGAGCCAACAAGAGUCAGACACUUAACCAUCUGAGCCACCCAGGCACCCUAGAAUGAAGGUUCUUUAAUUUAGCAAAGCACAUUCACAUGUUUUUAGGAGACACCAGAGUCAGUUCAGGAAUGUGACUUGAGUGGAGGUAGAAAGCUGAAUACCUCUGCGUUAGAAAGUAAUAAGGAAUUUCACGGUUCCUGCUGGGAGUUCCAAGAGAAAGGUCAAAGAGGAAGGGAAAUCAUGUGAUUUCCUCAUAGUAAGCACUAAGGAUAGAAGGCACUGAGAAUUGUUUCAAUGUGUGGAGCAUAUGUUGGUCUUCUUCUGAGCUAUGGAGUGUUUCCCAUCUGUUACCCCCUAGGCCUUCAGUCAAACCUGCUGUACACAACAACCAGAGUUAGUGGUGACUUUGGGUCCUGCAUGGGUUUGGUGGGACUACACAUGAGGGUCACAAAGAUAAGAUGGGCAGAGAAGUCCCCGGAGCAGAGUGUGACCUUGAGUUGGGACUGAACCAGGCCAUAGGGGCAAAGUUACCUCUCAGGAACAGAACUGAGACCAUAAAAAUAAGAAACCAGGAGUGUGGGGAGGGGGUGGAGGGGCACACACUUUGAUGGGUCUCCCUCUGUGAGGAUGGUCUGGACCCUGGUACUGUCUGCCUUUCCCAACUACAAAGAACUCAGCAGCCUCCUUGUUAGUACUCUGAUCCUAUCCCUGGCCUUGGCUGGUUAGUCAGGCUGGGAACUUCUGAUCCAGGCCAACAAGUGGCCUGGAGUUACAGUCUUACGGUCUUGAAAUGGGAGAAUGCUUGAGGUCAGGCUGUCUUCCAUGACUGCGGCUGGGAAAAGUAAAGCUCACAGGAUCUGUCAGCAGCCAUGCUGCCUGUCUUGUGGGAAAAGCUACUGCAAAGAGAAGGAAGGAAGCUGACUGCCAGAGAGAGGGAAAAGAUGGUGAUAGAGUCCUGAUGACUUUGGGGCCUCAGACUCCCAGUUGCAUCAUUGCCUAAAUAAAAAUCCUUUUCCCUAAGUUUAGUCUCUGCCACUUGCAUCCAGAAAUGCCCUCUGGGCACCAAGCACCACUUCCUCCCCCCUGCUUCCUCAGGUGCGCCCCUCCCUCUGGAAGUGAGAAGCUUAGAUGAGGACAGAGGAAAAUGUCCAUUCCGGGACCAGAGCUCCUCAGCCCCUUUCUAUUUUCACUACAUUUCCCACUCCCCAAGUCAUGUUUGUUUACCUGUUUACUUUUAUCACCCCUUUCCCCUAGGAAGACGUGAAGUUCCAUGCUGAGUUGUUUAACAUGGUAUCCCCAGUGCCUGGAACAUAGUAGGUGCUCAUGAGUCAUUGAACAAAGAAAUCUGGGCUUAAAAUCAGGCCACCAUAGACCUCCUACCAGGUCACAAUUGCAGCAGAGCUCGGUGCUAGACACUGAGUCCCGGAUGUUUGAAAUUUGUGUGUCCAAGUUAUCUGCCCAUCAGGUGCACAAGUAUGCUGGAGGCAAGGCUGGGCACACAAUUGGUGCUUCAUAAACCACAGAUAAAGAGCCAGCAGCCGAGCAUGACAAAGGGCUGCGGGGAGGAGAAGUUCAAUGCAGAUUACAAAGGUUUCAUCAGGAGCAGGGAAUUGAAAGGCAGCUGUAAUUAGAAAGCGUAGGCAUUCAAAACUGCCUGGAGGUCAGAAGGGCUGGACUGGCAGGCUGGGAGCCUGGGCAGGAAAUGGACACGGAGGCACCGCAGUUCUGGACUGACAUAAUUGGACAGAGACCAGCAGCCAGUUGCCAUGGUAGCAGCCAAUCCACGGAGUGCUUCUGUGGCAAGGAGUCAAGGUUUCUAAAGAAGGGGCUGAAAAAGCUGCCUUUGUUCCCACUCUGAGCUACUUGCUGUCAGAUCCCUGCGGGGGUGAUGUGGCGUGGGGCCAGAGCCAACAACUGCUGGCCACGGUGGCCGGGAGGGGGCCACGUGAGGACUAACGGGGCUGGCUGGAGUUGGGGACGCAAAAUGUGUCAUUCCAUGUUGCUGAUUUUGCCUCCUGAUGCAGAGCGGUGGCCAAUGGCUUGGGUUUCAGAGUCUGAGAGUGCAGUGUGCAGAUGGCGGCUUGGCCUCUCGGCCACUGUGUGACUCCAGGACAGAUCAGGCCUCAGUUUCCUUGCAUGUAAAGAGGGACUAUAAUGCCUUUCUUUCAGGGUGGAUGUAAGGAUUGAGAGAGGUGAGGCACGCCCCAUACUUACUCAGAGAGUGGUAAAUAAUAUUGUCAUUAUUUUGACGAAUGUUACAAACUGCUUCACGGCAGCUUGCUCAAAGGGCUGUUAGCUUCUGGGGAUUUAAAAAGCCGGUUUGCCUUCGUCAGGGGGACCGAAAAGACAGCCAACAGAGACUGGAAAACUCCAGGAGAUGACCGUUCAGACUAACGAUGUUGUAUUUAAAACGAAAACAUACUUGAGACUGUUUUGAGAGUUAUGUGCCAUCAGAGAAUCCUUCUCCUUUGUUCUUCUGGCCAAUUUGUGGGCCUGGACAGGAUACAGAGAUGAGGCCUUCCUUCCACAGCGGGAGAGAGAAAACAGAGGAGAGGACUGUGAAGGGAGAGCUUCCUCUGAUGUUCCCAUGAGGUAGGGCUGGAGGGGCCAAGGAGAGCGCUUUGCUUAGACCAGGUCAGGCCAGAGGCAGACAGAGCAAGGGCACAACUCUGGACUGAGCCCCCCUUUUCCUCGCCCUCACAAAAGUGCUGGGAGAUGCACACAUCCCUGUUGGACUCUGGUGCAGUCCUUUGUUGCUAUGGCAACUCAGUGGGCUCUCUGGUGGGUGGAAGAAGGGCCGCGCUGCAUGGAAAUCAGCAGUGGAGGCAGCAACCCUGCCCUUUGGCUGUGCCAAUCAAGGCACUUGUGAGUGGUGGGGAGACAUUCCCUCUCCCGUCUCAGGAGGCCAUGGGAGGCCCUGGGACUUCGGGACCUCACUCCUGGCUCCAACCUACGCCUGUCUCACUGUGAGGCUCCAGGCUCCAGUAUGGAGAGAUAGCUCCCACGGGACCCUCCUUUGGCGUGUGUCUUCCAAUUACACACUCCUCUGGAGAUUUCCUCUUCAUUUUCUUUGUAAAUGUAGUCGUUUGUCUGUUCACCCAUUAGAUACCGUGUGGUUACUGUGCAUCCCACGGGGUGCAGGGCAGUGAACAAGACAACGUGCCUGCCUCUGCGGAGCCCCCUGUUUUGUGGGGAGCAGACAGUAAACACAUCCACAAGAAGAGACCUGGAAGGUGAUAUGCAGGGUGGUUUGAACCAGAGAAAUUGGAGGGGUGGGCUGAUUAGAGUGGGUGGUCAGGGGAAGCCUCUCUGCCCUGCCGUUGGCAAGCUUAGCGGGACCCACCGCGGCAGCUGUGGCCGUGAGGUGUGCUCCAGGAAGGAGAUGGUGCAAAGGCCCAGAGCGGGUGGCAUGGUGGUUAGAGGAGGAGAAGGGGGGUGAGUUGUAAAGGCCCCAGAAGACAGAGCUGGAGAAGCAGUAGGAGGGGAUUGGCCAGAGUCUUGCCUGCUUUGCCGUGGAGCUUGGAUUUCACUCUGAAGGCCACAGGAAGCACUGAUGGGUUUUAAUCAGGACAGGGAAAUGGUCUGGUUUAUGUUUUUGAAUGCCUCUGCUAGCCUGGUGGACGAUGGACUGCCGCAGCGGUGGGAGUGGGGGUGGGGGAGCCCACGGUGUCCUGGCUCAGAGUACUGGGGCUGUAGAAUCUGCAUGUAACCCCAGCCGGGUUUGGUGGGAGCCUAAGGGUGGGGGUAAGGGAAGAGUGAAUUCAAGGGUGACUCCCAGAUGUCUGCCUUGAACCCCUGGGUGGAGGAGGGAUGAUGGCAGAGAGUGAAGGGGAGGGACUGCAUUGAAUCUCGGUUCUGUGGCCUGGAUAAAGCACACUUAAGUUGCCCAAGACCUCUUUUCAUGCUGGCCAUGAACCUCCAAGAACUCAUGCAUUGCAUAAGCAACAGUUGUAAGGAGUAAAGCUGAAAGGGAGCUUUUCUAGAACCCACUAAUGGAGAAGAAAACACUUCUUUUCAAAACCUCCUGAUGGUAAAAAUAAAAUCUUAAAAAAAAAAAAAAAAAAAAAGCAGAGGGGGGUGGCUCCUGGCUGGCUCAGUCGGUAGAGUGUGCAACUUUUGAUCUCAGGGUUAUAAGUUUGAGCCCCACGUUGGCUGUAGAGAUUACUUAAGAAUAAAAUAUUAAAAAGAAAAAACAACCACACAACUACCUGUUUGGUGGUAGAACUCACUUAGGCCAGUAACUGCUCUUUCGAGAGGGAAACACCUUGAUGGGUCAUUUCCCAGUGUGAGAGGUGAUAGCCUCAUGGAUAUGAUAUGAGCUAAUGUACCAGAUGCUGUGCUGAGGGCUUUAAAUACAUUCUAAUAUAGCUUCUGUUACAUAAUAAGCAACUGGAGCUGAGAGAGGCUAUGUAACUUAUCGAAGGUCACACAGGAAGCAAGUAGCAGAGUUACUGUUAACCAUGCUGUAAAAUUUCCAUGCCAGGUAAGAAUAAAGCAAUAGGAAUUGAGCAGCUAUUCCUUGGCCAAUGAAAUUUAAAAGAUGCCAGAGGGCCCUUGUGAGAGAGGAGAUAACCUGGCAAGUUGUAGGGGCCUGAGAAGUUCAGCCAGUGGCUCCUCCCCAAGGUACAGUGGUCAAGGAGUUUUCCAGAAGAACGAUGCCUGGUAUUUGUUGUAAUGUGUUUCCUGUUCACUAUUGUGCUGUGAUCCCUCUCCUUUACCAGCAAACCUUAGUGAAAUUGUUGGUGUUGGGAUGAUAAAGAAGGAAGAGUUGCAAUAAUGAGCAUGGGGGGAGAGGCAAGAAUAGAGAAGCCCCUAGUGGAUUCAAGAACAGGACAGGGACAGAAAGUGACCAGGAAAACACAAGUGACCUUGGAAUCUUCAGAAAUCCUGGGAAGGGAGCUGCCUUCCCAUAUGCUGUGAAAGAAGCCAGUUGAUGUGGAUAUUGAAAAAUUAGUAACAACCUGAAUGCUCAUCAAAGGGAAGAUCCUUACAUCAACUACGAUACAUCCAUACAAUAGAAUCGUAAUGUGGUGGUUACAAAGGACAAAGUACCCACUCCAUACUCUGAAGUAGAAAUAGGGCCAAGACAAAAUGUUAAAUGAGAAAAGCAACUUGUACGGUGUAAAGAAUAUGAUUCCCACGUAGGAAAACACACCAAAACAAUCUUCCCCACAGAGCAAAAGUCUUAAAACACCCAAGCUACGGUAGACCCUUCUGUGUAGACAGUGAACAUGUGUUUGGGGAGUCAAAGGGGCUGGCUUUUUUACUUCAACUGAAUUGUUCAAACGUUUUUUUCCACAGAAAUAUAUUUGUGCAUUUCCUAUGUAUUAAAAAUUAUUUAGGGGCGCCUGGGUGGCGCAGUCGGUUAAGCGUCCGACUUCAGCCAGGUCACGAUCUCGCGGUCCGUGAGUUCGAGCCCCGCGUCGGGCUCUGGGCUGAUGGCUCGGAGCCUGGAGCCUGUUUCCGAUUCUGUGUCUCCCUCUCUCUCUGCCCCUCCCCCGUUCAUGCUCUGUCUCUCUCUGUCCCAAAAAUAAAUAAACGUUGAAAAAAAAAAAUUAAAAAAAAAAAUUAUUUAAAAGCUCUAAAAAUAAGCCAGUGUCGGGGUGCCUGGGUGGCUCAGUCGGUUAAGCGGCCAACUUCUGCUCAGGUCAUGAUCUCACGGUCCAUGGGUUCGAGCCCCGCAUCAGGCUCUGUGCUGACAGCUCAGAGCCUGGAGCCUGCUUCCGAUUCUGUGUCUCCCUCUCUCUGACCCUCCCCUGUUCAUGCUCUGUCUCUCCCUGUCUCAAAAAUAAAUAAAAUGUUAAAAAAAAUUAAAAAAAAAAAAAGAAAAAAAAUAAGCCAGUGUCCCUGAGUGAUGUGCAGAGGAGGGCUGGUGCUGAUUGUCUGACCCCAAGUACUGCCCUGCUGGUCCCGGACAGCAACUGCCUUUCUCUAGAUGAUGAGCUCCAGGGUCAGUGAACAUGAGUAAAUAUGGGCCCAACUCCCCAGCCCCAAGUCAGACAGUUUUGUUUUAGUGGGAACAAAAUCCCUCAGGCCCAAGAAGAAUCCCAAGGACACAGCCCAGUCACUGUUCAUGACAGUCACAUGUAAUGAAACUGGGUCUCAGGAUAAAUGGUUGAGUGAAAAAGCAAGGUAGGGGGAAAAAGCAAGGCAAAGGACACUGGGAAUAUAAUUCCACUAUUUGAAUGAAAAUAAAAACUGUGAAUAUGCAGGCUAAUGUAUGCAUGGACUAUUAUGCUUCUGAAGAGGGCAACAGGGCAGCUGAAAGACAGGGAUGAGAAGGAGGCUUUAUUACAGGCAUGUUUGUACCUUUGGAAUUUUGAAAUAUUAUGUAUUGCCUAAUUUAUAGUAAGUGCUUUUUUUCUGAAAGUCUGUAUCUUUUGACCCCCUUCACCCAUUUUGCCCAGCUUCCCACCUCCCACCUCUAGCAACCAUCAUUCUGUUUUGUCUAUGAACUUACUGUUUUGUUUUGUCUAGAUUCCAUACGUAAGUAAGAGCAUAUGGUAUUUGUCUUUCUUUGACUAGUUUAUUUCCCUUAGCCUAAUGCCCUCAAGCUCCAUCCAUGCUGUUGCAAAUGGCAAGAUCUCAUUCUUUCUUAUGGCUGAAUACUAUUCCAUUGUGUGUACAUAUACAAACACAUACGCACCCAUUCUCUUUCUCUAUCCAUUCAUCCAUCCAUAGAUAUAGGUUGUUUCCAUGUCUUGGCUAUUGCAAAUAAUACUACAAUGAAGAGGAGUCAGUGUUUUCAUUUUCUUUUGAUAAAUACCCAGAACUGGAAUUGCUGGAUCAUAUAGUGGUUAUUUUUCAUUUUUUGAGGAACUCCCAUACUGUUUUCUGUGGUGGCUGCACCAAUUUUCAUUUCUACCAACAGUGCCAAAGGUUCACUUUUUCUCACCUCCUUGCCAACACACUUUCUUUUUCUCAUCUUUUUGAUAGUAGCCAUUCUGACAGGUGUGAGGUGAUAUCCCAUUGUGGUUUUGAUUUGUAUUUCCCUGCUGAUGAGUGAUGUUGAGCACCUCUCUUCAUGGACCUGUUGGCCAUCUGCAUGUAUUGUUUGGAAAAUGUCUCUUCAGAUCCUCUGCCCAUUUCUUAAUUCAACUGCUUUUUUGUAGCCCUCUUGACUUAGGACCUAGGGGCCAGCCAGUGCUAGGAAAAUACUGACACACAGGCUACUGUGUUAGGUAUUGACUCCGUUUCUCCUAAUGCACCUCAGAAUGCCCAUUCAGUGAUCCAGAAAUCAUCUUGAUGCUGUGAUAGAGCACCUCUGCAGAUAUAUGCCCUUUCCUUUCCUUUCGGGGCUUUUAAGAUAAUAAGACGCUAAUUUAUUUUUAUUUUACACUGUAGUUGGUUCAUACCACAGAAUUGACGUUUCCAAAACAUAGCUGAGAAAGCAUCCUGUUUUUGCUUGUCCAGGAGACAUAUUAUAUACCCAGCUGCUCCAGUUCCUUUGUGGAAUGAGUCAGGACCUAAAUAAAUAUACUUUGCUGUGUAUCCUAGGGAGCCUAUAGUACUUUCGCGUCCCAGUUUAAAUAUCGUAAACCACCCUCCUUUUUGAGAGUGCAUGUGCACACUGCAACACAUGCACACACACGCUUUGUCAUAAUUAAAUGGUCUUUCCAUGAGGAACUAAGGAAAAUGGGAAGCUGCUGGAGGGUUUUAGACAGAGGCAUGACCGGAUCUGCAUUAUUCAAAGAUGGCUUCCUGCGGUGUGGGAAGUUGAAGGGAACAUGGUGAGGCCAGAGCCCAAGAGGGGAGAAGAGGUGGGGAGGGAGGCUGCCACAGUAGUCCAGGCUACAAGUGAUGAGGUGGUGGGGUGGGCUUGGGGAGAUGAGAAAAGCGCUGUAUAAUUUGUAAAGUGGCUUACAUGGGGGACCCACUGUGACCACCCUACGUCAGCCCUUUGUGGCCUGAGGAGAGGGGUGCCGGGGUGGCUAAGUCAGUGAAGCGUCUGACUUUGGCUCAAGUCAUGAUCUCAAGGUCCAUGAGUUUGAGCCCCUCCUGGCGCUUCUGUGCUGACAGUACUGAGCCUGCUUGGCAUUCUCUGUAUGCCUCGCUCUCUGCCCCUCCCCUACUUGUGCAUGCACGCAUGCGCACUCUCUCUCUCAAAAUAAAUAAGUAAACUUAAAAAAAAGAAAAGAAAUAGCUGAGGAGAGAGGAGGAGGGGUCAUGCUCAGGUUGUUACCUCUCCUGCAAGUCUGAGGAAGUGAGAAGGAAACUUGAGCCCCCGGGGGCCCUGAGCUGCUCAGGGAUACAGACCUCUAAAGUGUCACUGACAACAGGGCUGGUGGAAAAGAUAUGUAGGGGAGGGCAGAGCGAGGCAGAAUUUCAGACAGAGAGGCAGGACCAUCUUCUUUUUCUCAUGUUUAUUUCAACUCAACCCAGCUCUUUUCCUCAGAGGUCUCUGGUAUUCAGCCCAUGGCAAGCUCUGGUAGAGCUGCCGAGUCACAGACGGUGACACCACGGUCCUGUAAGAGGGAGGAGGCCUGGCUUCUGGUUCUUGACGUCAUUAGUAACCUUCUUUUGUCAGCCUCGGGUUUAUCAGUUAACUUCGUUGGGCCUCAGUUUUUGCAUCUGUAAAAUAGGAUGAUCUUCCUUCUGGUGGAAUUGAAUAUGAGCUAAACAAAUUAAAUGCUGUUCGUCUUGUAACCCAGAAAGCAACAGUCUCAUAAAGUGGUGGUUUUUCAGGCUGUGCUCCUGGUGCCACUGUGAAUGAGGAGGGGGAGGUUGGGACUCUAGACAUCCGACUUUCCUGUUCAAUGAGGACUGCUCUCCUCUUCAAACUAUUGGAAUUUGAGUAAGAUUUCAUUUGAACAAAGGGUUCUGCUGCUAAAACAGUUUAAAAACCACUAUGACACAGCAUUCCUCCCUAAGCAAAUCAGAUGUCUGACCUUAACCCAGGGACGGCAAAUAAAUCACCCACCACAUCUGAAGCCUGUGCCUGCAGCAGACAUCAGUAAUCAAUCACAGGUCCUUUCCUGCUGACCCUUAAUGAAGCCUCAGAAUUACUUGCCACACAAUACUUCUAGCUGCCAGUUCCACAGUGAACAUGUGAGAUGAAACCCAUUUUCAGGGCGCCUGGGUGGCUCAGUCAGUUCCAUGUCUGACUCUUGGUUUCCGCUCAGGUCACGAUGUCAACAGUUCAUGAAUUCGAGCCCAGCAUCGGGCUCUGUGCUAGCAUUGUGGAGCCUGCUUGGGCUUUUCUGUCUCCUUUUCUCUCUACCCCUCCCCUGCUUGCUCUCUAUCUCUCUCUCAAAAUAAAUAAAUAAACUGAAGAGAAAGAAAGAAAGAAAGAAACCCAUUUUCCACCCUUAACUUUUCAUUGUAGGUUGACCCUGAGCAUUCAGUUGAGUUGAAGACAACAACUGCUCUAAACUUGAUUUGGAUAAAAAAGUUUGAAAGCAAGGUUGAAGUGUUUGCUUUUGUGUCAGUCCCUUUGGGCUGCUGUAGCAAGAUAUACUAGGUGGCUUAAGUAACAGUUAUUUAUUCCUCAGGGUUCUGGAAGUUGCAAGUCCAAGAUCAAGGUGCAGGCAUGGUAGGGUUCCGGUGAGAGCCCUCUUCCUGGUUUAUAGAUGACACCUUCUUGCUGUAUCCUCACCAGGAAGAGAGAGAGAGAGAGAUCGUCUCUCUCUUGUGACUCUUUUUGUAAGGGCACUAAUCCUAUCAGGAGGGCUCCACUUAUAUGACCUGAUUUCUCAAAGACCCCACUUCCAGGACCACUGGGGAGUAGAGCUUCAACAUAUGAAUUCUGGGGAGACCCAACCAUUCAAUCCACAGCAGCUUUCAGAGAUUUGUUUCACCAUCACAUAUUUAAGAAAAUGUUACUUUUUAAAUGCUAUUUAUUUUUGAGAGACAGAACAGGAGAGGGGGAGGGACAGAGAGAGAGGGAGACACAGUAUCUGAAACAGGCUCCAGGCUCUGAGCUGUCAGCACAGAGCCCCACGCGGGGCUCGAACCCACGAACUGUGGGAUCAUGACCUGAGCUGAAGUUGGACAUUUAACCAACUGAGCUCCCCCCUCCCCAGCCCCACAGAUGUUAUUUUAUUUUAUUUUUUUUUAAUUUUUUUUUCAACGUUUAUUCAUUUUUGGGAGAGAGACAGAGCAUGAACGGGGGAGGGGCAGAGAGAGAGGGAGACACAGAAUGGGAAACAGGCUCCAGGCUCUGAGCCAUCAGCCCAGAGCCUGACGCGGGGCUCGAACUCACGGACCGCGAGAUCGUGACCUGGCUGAAGUCGGACGCUUAACCGACUGCGCCACCCAGGCGCCCCUCACAGAUGUUAUUUUAAAAAGAAAAAUUAUUUAUUUAUUUUGGAAGAGAGAGAGAGAGGGAAUGCACACAUGAACACGUGCCUGCAAGCAGGGGAGGGGCAGAGAGAGAGAGGGAGAGAGAGAAUCCCAACGUGAAGAGCCCUACUCUGGAUUCGGUCCCAUGAACCAUGAGAUCAUGACAGGAGGUGAAAUCAAGAGUCAGACACAACCGACUGAGCCACCCAGGCGCCUCAAGAAAAUAAGAUGUUACUUUUGAUCAUUUACAGACAAUCCUUUAUCCUAGUGUGUCCCACCCUCCUCUCAUUUUGCCUGUGCUUAUCAUACUCAUCCUUUAAAUCCUAAUUCAGAUGCCUCCUAGUUACCUUCUCCAUGAAGAUGAAUUUUCUUCUCUGAAAUUUCCCAGUGUUCUACUCGCUUUGCUCAUGGCAUUUAAUGCCCUGUAGUGUUGGGUUGUGUUUUCUUUGUUUUUGUUGUUGUUGUUGUUGUUGUAAAUGUCUUGUGUUUCCAUUUAGACAGUGAGCUCCCUUGAAAUCAUGAUUGCCAUCUCAAUAGAUAUUUGUAUUGUUUCGGGAUAGCCCAGUGGUUAGUAUUUGCCAAGAGAAUGAAUCAACAUAAGGAAAUCUGAGUACUAGCCCAAAAGGCUAUUUCAUUUUGUUAAAACUACCAGUUGAAGCACAGUUAAGUUCUAUUGGGAAUUGAAAACAUUUGCUAAAAUGUACGUUCUAGGAAGACAGGUGAUCUUUGGUUUGUUCAUGUUUCAUUCAUGUCUAGAACAAUGUCUGGCAUACAGUUGGCCCUCAAUUUAUUUUCGUUGAAUGAAUAAAAGCAUGAACAAAUUAGGGUUUGAGAAAAUACAGUAGCCUGACAGUGACUUCUCAUGUGUUUAUCUCACAGGGGGUAAGGCAUUAACUGAUUGACAAGGUCUAGCCAGUUUGGAAACCAGCUGGACAAAUGCCUGGUUAUUUCUACGGAAACGUGCACAUUUCACAUACUUUUCCAAACAGGUAAGUAUUGACAAGAGAGUGUUAUGUAAUUGAGAUGUGACCUUCACCUCCAACUGGGAACUUAUUUAUUCUUGCCUUGUGGAAAUCUGGGUAGAUAUAGUCCUUUAAAGGAUGAAAAUACUCUGCAUAUUUUAAAUUGUAUAGUUGUUAUCAAAAUAGCUCCUGAAAAUUCUGUGAUUUUUCCUGUGUUUGGCAAAUGUAGAUUUCUGUCUUCCAGGGCCAUUCUGCCAAGAGACCUGCUAUCAAAUUUUCAAUUUCUCUUUGCUUUGAGAAAUUGUUUGAUAAUUUUCUUUACUUUGAUAGUUUGCUUUAUACUGCUGAUUGUGCAAGAACUCGUUGAUGGAGAAAUCCACAUUUGGAGUGAUAUGGUGUCACUCCCAAUCUCCAGGCAAAAUAUUGACAUCAGAAAGGUGGCUUUUUAUUUAUUAUUAUUUUUUUAAUGUUUAUUUUAUUUUUGAGGGAGGGAAUGUGCACGCAUGGGGAAGGGAGGGGGGCGGACAGAGGAUCCAAAGCAGGCUCCUUGCUGAUAGCAGACAGGCUGAUGGGGGGCUCAAAUUCAUAAACCAUGAGAUCUUGACCUGGGCCGGAGUUACAUGCCUAACUGACUGAGCCGUGCAGGUGCCCCAGAAAGGUAGCUUUUUAAAGCCCGAUCUUUGUAAUCCACUGUUUGGCACGUAGUAGGUGCUUGGCUAAACAUUGAAUCUGUGCAUUUAGUCCUUCAAUAAAUAUUUAUCCCAUGCCUGCCCUCCACUUGAGGUUACCAAAACUAAUUCAGGUUUUAAGAACAUUACUAGUGUUGUCUUUCAGAGUCAAUUUGUCUAAUUAACAUGGGCAUGCUAUUAUUUUCUUGACUGGCCUGGGACUGCCAAAGGGUUCAAUUAAAGCAGUAAAACUGAAGAGAACUUGAUCUUCCUUUAACAUUUUUUUAUCAUCAACAGGGGCUCAGUUCUAUAUUCAAAAGGCUUGGGUAGGGAUUUUAUUGGGCCCUUUGCCUACUCUAACUAGUAUAUAACCAUUAACUGGUUAAUCCAAAUAGGCCCUCAGGGAGGCCUGGCAGAGCCAUUAUCUUUACAUUACUGAAAGCCAGGUGGCUUGUUCAAGGCUGCUGUGCGAGGUCAGAGCUUGUGGCAGAGUCGAGUCCAACCCUUCUUUGCCAGGAUUGGUCACUUGCUUCCUCCUCAGGCAUUUGCACAUCUGUCUUUAUUUUUCCCAUGAAAGAGGAGCUCCAUUGUGCCACCUUUUAGCCUUGCCCACCGGUGACCUCAUUCCACUAUCCUCUCUUUUGGUGAAAAGUCUGGCCCCUGGAAGUGAGACUUGGAUGGCCUUCUAUUUCAGAAAUCACCCUUAAUUGUUCUGCAGGCCUUAGUAACUAAAGCUUUGGUGUCAAGCAACUUGAGUUCAAAUCUUGGUUUCAUUGCUUAGUAACCCUGUGACUUCAGGCAAGUCACUUAAUAUUUCUGAAACCUCAGUUUCCUCCUCUAGAAGUUGGGGCCGUUGAUGAUAGUACUAACCCAUGGCAUUGUUGCAAAAUCAAAUGGCAUAAUGUCUUAAGGGCUUAGCACCCCUGCCUGGCACGUAAGAAAUGCUUCAUGUAUAGUAGCUAUCAAUUUACGAGGCAGCCAUCACAAACUGCCUCUGGGCAGAAAAGUUAGAGACUUCUAAACUCGUCACAUCUUGUCUUUUCAUCCAAACCCUUCUGAAAAAUCAAUAGCCAGAAUAGAAACUAGCCUCUCCAAGUGAGGUGGAGCAGAUCUAACCUGUAUAUACAUCUGUGUUGGCUAGAACUUGGGGGAAUAAUACAUGUAAUGAAAAAGAAAUAUGUCCUUGCACUGCUUACUUACCUGGAUGCAGCGAACUGAAAACAGAUACACUUUGGAGAGGUGCAUUUAUUACCUUUGGGAGGCUGAGCUGAAGUGCAACCAAGCAACCAGGAUUUUGACAUUUAUCUGUUUUCCCGAUGCUUUAUGGACUCUGUAUAAAACCAGUCUAAUGACCUUCCUACCAAGGCUGAACAAUUUGCUGAUGGAGCUGUAGGUUUCUGUGGGCCUUUUGUGUGUGUGUGGCUUUAAUUUCAUUUCUGGAAUAAAGGAAGUGCAAAGACAUUAACUCUGGAUCCAUCAAAGAAAGAACUCUGUAAUUGCAUUUUGGCAGCAAAUGUGCUUGAGCUAUGUGCACUUUGAAAGCCAGCGAUGAUUAAUCCUGCAUAUUUAGCUGAGUCCAAGAGCAGACACACUGUAAUGAUAACGGCAUCAACCAAGAGAAUGUUGUUUGAUCGUUACAGACUUGGGUCUGCUGUGAUGUACGUGAGUAGCUGCAUCAACCUGAUCUCAGCCAAGAAAUCUAGAUCUGCGUGUCCACCAUGAUAGCCUCUAGCCACAUGUGGCUAUUGAGCGUUUGAAAUAUCGCUGGGCCGAGUUGAGAUGUGCUGUAAAUGUAAAACACACGCUGGAGUUCAAAGAUUGAGUAUGUGAAAGAGAAUGUAAAAUAUUUAUAUAUUGCAUAUGUUAAAGUAAU